rnacentral:tRNA from 1 species
AAGAAAGUGACAGAGUAGUUAUGUGGUUGGCUUGAAACCAAUUGAUGGGGGUUCAAUUCCUUCCUUUCUUG